CGGGUAACGGGGGAUCCAGGGUUCCGAUUUCCGGAGAGGGAGCCUGAGAAACGGCUACCACAUUCCAAGGAAGGCAGCAGGCGCGAAAAUUACCCAAUCCAGAAAAUGGGAGGUGGUGACGAGAAGUACCGAAUGGCGACAUAUGUUGCUAGUUUGGAAUGAAAACAAUUUAAGCAAUUGAAUUGAGUAACGACUGGAGGGCAAGUCUGGUGCCAGCAGCCGCGGUAAUUCCAGCUCCAGUAGCGUGUCUCAAAGUUGCUGCGCUUAAAACGCUCGUAGUUGGAUCACGCACUGCAAGUUGGUGUAUUUUGUGUAUGCUACGUCAAGCCCUGAGUUUUCAGCCUCGGCGUUCACGUUGGGCGUUGGAACGACGGGUGUACGUACACAAAGUAGUUAGCCAAUUUGUAGUAAUUGCACGUGAGGAUGACCGUUGACCUUUAGUGCGUUGAUGGUCGUGUCUCAUGGGGUGUGCCUUGAGUAAAUCAGAGUGCUUAAAGCAGGCUUUACGCUUGAAUGUUGAUAGCAUGGAACGAACAAUCGUGUAUGGUGUGCAUUGGCAACAGUGUCAGGUGUAUGUAAAGUAUGCCUGCACUGCAAUGCACGACACCGACCACCAAUUACGGAUGUUGGUUCCGUAUUGGGGUACUGAUUAAGAGGAGCAGUUGGGGGCAUUGGUAUUUGGUAGCGAGAGGUGAAAUUCUUGGACCUACCAAGGACUAACAAAUGCGAAGGCAUCUGUCCAGACUGUAUCCAUUAAUCAAGAACGAAAGAGAGAGGUUCGAAAACGAUCAGAUACCGUUCUAGUUCUCUCUGUAAACUAUGCCGACCCGGGAUCAGUUUGGAGCAAUAUGUCCACGCUCGAGUUGGUCCCCCCCA
rnacentral:rRNA from 1 species